rnacentral:rRNA from 1 species
GUACCCGCUGAACUUAAGCAUAUCAAUAAGCGGAGGAAAAGAAACCAACAGGGAUUGCCUCAGUAACGGCGAGUGAAGCGGCAACAGCUCAAAUUUGAAAGCUGCCAACAGGCCGCAUUGUAAUUUGUAGAAGAUGCUUUGGGGGUUGGCCUAGUCUAAGUUCCUUGGAACAGGACGUCAUAGAGGGUGAGAAUCCCGUAUGUGAUUAGUGCCUUCUCCCGUGUAAAGCUCUUUCGACGAGUCGAGUUGUUUGGGAAUGCAGCUCAAAAUGGGUGGUAAAUUUCAUCUAAAGCUAAAUAUUGGCCAGAGACCGAUAGCGCACAAGUAGAGUGAUCGAAAGAUGAAAAGCACUUUGGAAAGAGAGUUAAACAGUACGUGAAAUUGUUGAAAGGGAAGCGCUUGCAACCAGACUUGCAGGCGGUCGAUCAUCCGAGGUUCUCCCCGGUGCACUCGAUCGUCUUCAGGCCAGCAUCGGUUUCGGUGGCGGGAUAAAGGCUCUAGGAAUGUGGCUCUUCGGAGUGUUAUAGCCUAGGGUGCAAUGCCGCCUACCGGGACCGAGGACCGCGCUUCGGCUAGGAUGCUGGCGUAAUGGUUGUAAGCGGCCCGUCUUGAAACACGG